rnacentral:rRNA from 1 species
AUGGGCAGGCGGAUAGGGGACGGUUCCCGGAUAAAUAUUCUUCGUGAUAACUGGAUCGUGAGGAAUGGGAGCCUCAGGCCUUUGGGCGAGGAUUAUGAGCAGGGCAUUACUCAUGCUGGCGACCUUCUCACGGCACACGACACGGCUUGGGCUUGGGACAGUGAGAAGCUGGCGCACAUGUUCAGCUGUGAUGAUGCCAAGGUAAACCGCUAUUGGCGGGCUGGGGACGAAUGGCUAUAUUGCAUGGACUUGUACCAAAAACGGCCAAUUCACCGUAAGAUCAGCGCAUCUGUGAACAGAGUGAAGAGCGGACGGACGGGAUCUUCCUCGUCGGUCAGCAAGCACAGGGGAUGGCUGGCCCUUUGGGACACUCAUGCUACAAACGAGGUCAAAGUACACAUGUGGCUUGUGAUGCGUAAUGGUCUUGCGGUCGGUGACGAGCUCCAUCAUAGAGGGAUCAAGCCUGGGUUAUUUUGA